AACGUAGGAGGCAAGCGUUAUCCGAAUUUACUGGGCGUAAAGCGCGUGCAGGCGGUUCGGUAAGUUGGAUGUGAAAUCUUCUGGCUCAACUGGGAGAGGACGUUCAAGACUGCCGGGCUGGAGGGCGGUAGAGGGAGGUGGAAUUCCCGGUGUAGUGGUGAAAUGCGUAGAUAUCGGGAGGAAUACCUGUGGCGAAAGCGGCCUCCUGGACCGUACCUGACGCUCAGACGCGAAAGCUAGGGGAGCGAACGGG
rnacentral:rRNA from 1 species